UAAUUGAGAGUUUGAUCCUGGCUCAGGAUGAACGCUGGCGGCGUGCCUAACACAUGCAAGUCGAGCGAGAAAUAAAGGAAUGAAGCUUCGGUAGAUUUUCUUUAUGGAAAGCGGCGGACGGGUGAGUAACGCGUAGGCAACCUGCCCUGUACAGGGGGAUAGCCACCCGAAAAGGUGAUUAAUACCCCAUAACGCAAGAGAUACACAUGUAUCACUUGUCAAAGAUUUAUCGGUAUAGGAUGGGCCUGCGUCUGAUUAGCUAGUUGGUAGGGUAACGGCUUACCAAGGCAACGAUCAGUAGCCGACCUGAGAGGGUGAUCGGCCACAUUGGAACUGAGACACGGUCCAAACUCCUACGGGAGGCAGCAGUGGGGAAUAUUGCACAAUGGGCGCAAGCCUGAUGCAGCAACGCCGCGUGAAGGAUGAAGGCCUUCGGGUUGUAAACUUCUGUCCUAGGGGAAGAAACAAAUGACAUUACCCUUGGAGGAAGCCCCGGCUAACUACGUGCCAGCAGCCGCGGUAAUACGUAGGGGGCGAGCGUUAUCCGGAAUUAUUGGGCGUAAAGAGUGCGUAGGUGGCACCUUAAGCGCAGGGUUUAAGGCAAUGGCUCAACCAUUGUUCGCCUUGCGAACUGGGGUGCUUGAGUGCAGGAGGGGAAAGUGGAAUUCCUAGUGUAGCGGUGAAAUGCGUAGAUAUUAGGAGGAACACCAGUGGCGAAGGCGACUUUCUGGACUGUUACUGACACUGAGGCACGAAAGCGUGGGGAGCAAACAGGAUUAGAUACCCUGGUAGUCCACGCCGUAAACGAUGAGCACUAGGUGUCGGGGUCGCAAGACUUCGGUGCCGCAGUUAACGCAUUAAGUGCUCCGCCUGGGGAGUACGCACGCAAGUGUAAAACUCAAAGGAAUUGACGGGGACCCGCACAAGCAGCGGAGCAUGUGGUUUAAUUCGAAGCAACGCGAAGAACCUUACCAAGGCUUGACAUAUAGUUGAGUUAUUGAGAAAUUGAUAAGUCCCUCGGGACAGCUAUACAGGUGGUGCAUGGUUGUCGUCAGCUCGUGUCGUGAGAUGUUGGGUUAAGUCCCGCAACGAGCGCAACCCUUGCCAUUAGUUGCCAUCAUUUAGUUGGGCACUCUAGUGGGACUGCCGGGGAAAACUCGGAGGAAGGUGGGGAUGACGUCAAAUCAUCAUGCCCCUUAUGUUCUGGGCUACACACGUGCUACAAUGGCCGGUACAACAGGCAGCGAACCCGUGAGGGGGAGCGAAUCCCAAAAGCCGGUCCCAGUUCGGACUGUAGGCUGCAACUCGCCUACACGAAGUUGGAGUUGCUAGUAAUCGCGGAUCAGAAUGCCGCGGUGAAUGCGUUCCCGGGUCUUGUACACACCGCCCGUCACACCAUGGAAGUUGGGGGUGCCCGAAGUCGGUUAGUUAAUCUAUCGCCUAAGGCAAAACCAAUGACUGGGGUGAAGUCGUAACAAGGUAGCCGUUCGAGAACGUGCGGCUGGAUCACCUCCUUUC
rnacentral:rRNA from 1 species